rnacentral:rRNA from 1 species
AAUAGAUACCCAGGUAGUCCACGCCGUAAACGAUGAGUGCUAAGCGUUAGGGGGUUUCCGCCCCUUAGUGCUGCAGCUAACGCAUUAAGCACUCCGCCUGGGGAGUACGGUCGCAAGACUGAAACUCAAAGGAAUUGACGGGGGCCCGCACAAGCGGUGGAGCAUGUGGUUUAAUUCGAAGCAACGCGAAGAACCUUACCAGGUCUUGACAUCCCAUUGACCACUAUGGAGACAUAGUUUUCCCUUCGGGGACAACGGUGACAGGUGGUGCAUGGUUGUCGUCAGCUCGUGUCGUGAGAUGUUGGGUUAAGUCCCGCAACGAGCGCAACCCUUGUUCUUAGUUGCCAUCAUUUAGUUGGGCACUCUAAGGAGACUGCCGGUGACAAACCGGAGGAAGGUGGGGAUGACGUCAAAUCAUCAUGCCCCUUAUGACCUGGGCUACACACGUGCUACAAUGGACGGUACAAACGGUUGCCAACCCGCGAGGGGGAGCUAAUCCGAUAAAACCGUUCUCAGUUCGGAUUGUAGGCUGCAACUCGCUACA